UACGGGAGGCAGCAGUGGGGAAUAUUGCACAAUGGGCGCAAGCCUGAUGCAGCCAUGCCGCGUGUAUGAAGAAGGCCUUCGGGUUGUAAAGUACUUUCAGUCGUGAGGAAGGUGUUAAGGUUAAUAACCUUAGCAAUUGACGUUAGCGACAGAAGAAGCACCGGCUAACUCCGUGCCAGCAGCCGCGGUAAUACGGAGGGUGCGAGCGUUAAUCGGAAUUACUGGGCGUAAAGGGCACGCAGGCGGUUAAUUAAGUUGGAUGUGAAAUCCCCGGGCUUAACCUGGGAAUGGCAUUCAAGACUGGUUAGCUAGAGUCUUGUAGAGGGGGUAGAAUUCCGAUGUGUAGCGGUGAAAUGCGUAGAGAUGUGGAGGAAUACCGGUGGCGAAGGCGGCCCCUGGACAAAGACUGACGCUCAUGUGCGAAAGCGUGGGGAGC
rnacentral:rRNA from 1 species